UACGUAGGUGGCGAGCGUUGUCCGGAUUUAUUGGGCGUAAAGAGCUCGUAGGCGGUUUGGUAAGUCAGGUGUGAAAUCUCCACGCUCAACGUGGAGGGGCCACCUGAUACUGCCAUGACUGGAGUCCGGUAGAGGAGUGUGGAAUUCCCGGUGUAGCGGUGAAAUGCGCAGAUAUCGAGAGGAACACCUGCGGCGAAGGCGGGUUGCUGGGCCGACACUGACGCUGAUGCGCGAAAGCCAGGGGAGCGAACGGG
rnacentral:rRNA from 1 species